GGGAAGAAGGCCUUCGGGUUGUAAAGCACUUUCAGCAGGGAGGAAGGCUUACCCCUAAUACGGGUGAGUACUUGACGUUACCUGCAGAAGAAGCACCGGCUAAUUUCGUGCCAGCAGCCGCGGUAAUACGAAAGGUGCAAGCGUUAAUCGGAAUUACUGGGCGUAAAGCGCGCGUAGGCGGUGUGUUAAGUCGGAUGUGAAAGCCCAGGGCUCAACCUUGGAAUUGCAUCCGAUACUGGCACGCUAGAGUGCAGUAGAGGGAGGUGGAAUUUCCGGUGUAGCGGUGAAAUGCGUAG
rnacentral:rRNA from 14 species